rnacentral:rRNA from 1 species
UGCCGAGAAAAGCCUCUAGAUAGAAAAUAGGUGCCCGUACCGCAAACCGACACAGGUAGUCAAGAUGAGAAUUCUAAGGUGAGCGAGCGAACUCUCGUUAAGGAACUCGGCAAAAUGACCCCGUAACUUCGGGAGAAGGGGUGCUCUUUAGGGUUAACGCCCAGAAGAGCCGCAGUGAAUAGGCCCAAGCGACUGUUUAUCAAAAACACAGGUCUCUGCUAAACCGUAAGGUGAUGUAUAGGGGCUGACGCCUGCCCGGUGCUGGAAGGUUAAGAGGAGUGGUUAGCUUCUGCGAAGCUACGAAUCGAAGCCCCAGUAAACGGCGGCCGUAACUAUAACGGUCCUAAGGUAGCGAAAUUCCUUGUCGGGUAAGUUCCGACCCGCACGAAAGGCGUAACGAUUUGGGCACUGUCUCAACGAGAGACUCGGUGAAAUCAUAGUACCUGUGAAGAUGCAGGUUACCCGCGACAGGACGGAAAGACCCCGUGGAGCUUUACUGUAGCCUGAUAUUGAAAUUCGGCACAGCUUGUACAGGAUAGGUAGGAGCCUUUGAAACGUGAGCGCUAGCUUACGUGGAGGCGCUGGUGGGAUACUACCCUAGCUGUGUUGGCUUUCUAACCCGCACCACUUAUCGUGGUGGGAGACAGUGUCAGGCGGGCAGUUUGACUGGGGCGGUCGCCUCCUAAAAGGUAACGGAGGCGCUCAAAGGUUCCCUCAGAAUGGUUGGAAAUCAUUCAUAGAGUGUAAAGGCAUAAGGGAGCUUGACUGCGAGACCUACAAGUCGAGCAGGGUCGAAAGACGGACUUAGUGAUCCGGUGGUUCCGCAUGGAAGGGCCAUCGCUCAACGGAUAAAAGCUACCCCGGGGAUAACAGGCUUAUCUCCCCCAAGAGUUCACAUCGACGGGGAGGUUUGGCACCUCGAUGUCGGCUCAUCGCAUCC